rnacentral:rRNA from 1 species
AUACGGAGGGUCCAAGCGUUAUCCGGAAUCAUUGGGUUUAAAGGGUCCGUAGGCGGGCAAUUAAGUCAGAGGUGAAAUCCCACAGCUCAACUGUGGAACUGCCUUUGAUACUGGUUGUCUUGAAUUAUAGUGAAGUAGAUAGAAUAUGUAGUGUAGCGGUGAAAUGCAUAGAUAUUACACAGAAUACCGAUUGCGAAGGCAGUCUACUAACUAUAUAUUGACGCUGAUGGACGAAAGCGUGGGGAGCGAACAGGAUUAGAAACCCUAGUAGUCC